UCGCGAAAACUUCGCAAUAAGCGAAAGCUUGACGGGGCCAUCCCGAGUGCCAUCUGCUGAGGAUGGCUUUUACCCAGUGUAGAUAGCUGGGGGAAUAAGGAGAGGGCAAGUCUGGUGUCAGCCGCCGCGGUAAUACCAGCUCUCCGAGUUGUGGGGAUGUUUAUUGGGCCUAAAGCAUCCGUAGCCGGCUGGGCAAGUCCUCUGUUAAAUCCAGCGAUUAAUCGUUGGCCUGCGGGGGAUACUGUCUGGCUAGGGGGCGGGAGAGGCCGUCGGUAUUCUCGGGGUAGGGGUGAAAUCCUAUAAUCCCGGGAGGACCACCAGUGGCGAAGGCUGUCGGCUAGAACGCGCCCGACGGUGAGGGAUGAAAGCUGGGGGAGCGAACCGGAUUAGAUACCCGGGUAGUCCCAGCUGUAAACGAUGCAGGCUAGGUGUUAGGGCGGCUACGUGCCGCUCUAGUGCCGCAGGGAAGCUGUUAAGCCUGCCGCCUGGGGAGUACGGCCGCAAGGCUGAAACUUAAAGGAAUUGGGCGGGGG
rnacentral:rRNA from 1 species